rnacentral:ncRNA from 2 species
AGAGGAAAAAAUAAAUACCCUCAUAUAUCAUGGGAAUAUGGCCCAUACGUUUCUACCCGAUUACCGUAAAUAAUCGGACUAUGAGGGAAAGUAGAUAUUUU